rnacentral:rRNA from 1 species
ACUCAAAGGAAUAGACGGGGGCCCGCACAAGUGGUGGAGCAUGUGGUUUAAUUCGACGCUACGCGAAGAACCUUACCCAGGUUUGAAAUCUAGUGGAAGUCGGCAGAGAUGUCGACGUCCCGCAAGGGACUGCUGGACAGGUGCUGCAUGGCUGUCGUCAGCUCGUGCCGUGAGGUGUUGGGUUAAGUCCCGCAACGAGCGCAACCCUUGUCCUUAGUUGCCAUCAGGUAAAGCUGGGCACUCUGGGGAGACCGCCGCCGUAAGGUGGAGGAAGGUGGGGAUGACGUCAAGUCAGCAUGGCCCUUACAUCUGGGGCUACACACGUGCUACAAUGGCCGGUACAACGGGCAGCGAAAUCGCGAGGUGGAGCGAAUCCCUUGAAAGCCGGUCUCAGUUCGGAUUGCAGGCUGCAAUUCGCCUGCAUGAAGUCGGAAUCACUAGUAACCGCAGAUCAGCUACGCUGCGGUGAAUGCGUUCCCGGGCCUUGUACACACCGCCCGU